rnacentral:rRNA from 1 species
CACGUAGGAGGCGAGCGUUGUCCGGAAUCAUUGGGCGUAAAGAGCGCGCAGGCGGCUUGGCAAGUCGGGUGUGAAAUCCCGGGGCUCAACCCCGGGACUGCAUUCGAUACUGUCAGGCUAGAGGUAGGUAGGGGAGAUCGGAAUUCCUGGUGUAGCGGUGAAAUGCGCAGAUAUCAGGAGGAACACCAGUGGCGAAGGCGGUUGCCUGGGGCUGUGCUGACGCUGAUGCGCGAAAGCGUGGGGAGCGAUCCGG